GCGGAAGUGGCGAAAUUGGUAGACGCACCAGAUUUAGGUUCUGGCGCCGCAAGGCGUAAGAGUUC
rnacentral:tRNA from 1 species